AACUGGGAAGCUCCAGACCUGAUUUAAAGAGAUAGGCUCCUGAGAGGGGAGUGUUCCUUGCCUUGGCAUGAAUAAUUCAGGCUGAAGAGGCUGACACUUGAUCCACAGGCCAUUCUGAUUGACCAACAGAUCAAUACCACUUAAGGAGAAGAGGCAGACCCUGCGGUGGCCCAGGUCCCAGGCAAAGACCAACAACAUCAAGGACCAGAGUUCCUGGAUCUGUCCACGGUGCUGAAUGUCUUUAUCCUUAUUGCCACUGCCUGCCUCAGAAUGACUACUUCCAGAAGGCCUUAGUUUCUUUGUCUGCUACAUGGGGAAUAUAACCGUGGUCCCACAUGCCUCACCAGGAAACCGUGAAGAUCAGGUGUGAAAGGAUUUUGUAAAAUGUGAAGUACUGUGAGUAUGGAUAGUUCUGCCUUGAGUACAGAGCCCCCCUCACCCGGGGCCCUCCCGUCCCACACAGCUACCCCUGCACAGGUGGCCAGUGCACUCCCUCUUCUCUCCCACCUGAGUUUAGCUUCAAGAGACAGAAUAUUGAGAGAAGUUUAAGGCCCCAAAUCACUUCUUUAGCCUCAUCCCUCACCAUGACCCCUCUCUUAGGCCACACUGCAGCCAUGCUGAACUAGUGGAAAUUCCCCAAGCCGGCCAGGAGCUUUCUGUAUGCUGAGACUUUAUCUGUGCUGUUUCUUCUCCAUGGACACUGUUCCCAACUUCUCCACCUGGUGUGUUCCUACUCAUCUUUCAAGACUCAGCUUAGAUGUCCCCAUUUCUAGGAUGCCUCUCUUGACCUGGUUCAGGGCCUCCUACUUCUCCCCUUGAUUAGCACACCAGCCUCCUGCCUGAGCUCUUGGCCUCCAGCUUCCCUUUUCCACUCAAAGCCCCCAUGGUGCAGCCAACAGCCUUUCUAAAACACAAAUCUUGUCAUGUCAUUCCCUGCUUAAAAUAACCAGUCAAUGGAAUAAUCCAUCAAUCAAUGCUUCAAGGGCUUCUCCUUGCCCUCAGGAAGAUAUCCAAAGCCUUCUGCUGGAACUCAAGGCUUAAUCCCCAGUGGUGUCUCCAGCCUCCACUCUCCUGUCUAUCCUAAUCGCCCUGCCCGGCACAGCACACCCCUGCCUCAUUGCUCUUGUAUCCUAUCUCAGACGCACCUUGCUCUCUCAUGUCUCCCUAUCUUUGCACAUCCCAUUGUUUCUCAUGCCCAUUCCCUUCAUCUCCACCUGGGGACUUCCUGCCUAAUCUUCUAAGCCAGCUCUGAUCUAACCUGUUCUGGAAGCCUUUCCUGAUGGCCCCAGAGUCUGUGGCUUCUUCUUCUUUAUUCCCUAUAUGACUACUCAUGCUUUUGUCACUGUGUGUCAGCUUGUCUGCUUACACUAGGAGUUUGCUGUAUCUGACCCAUGACGUGUCCCCAGCA